UACGAAGGGGGCGAGCGUUGUUCGGAAUACUGGGCGUAAAGCGUGCGCAGGCGGUUCGUUGUGUCCGUCGUGAAAGCCCCGGGCUUAACCUGGGAACUGCGAUGGAAACUAGCGAGCUGGAGUGUGGCAGAGGGGGGGUGGAAUUCCGCGUGUAGCAGUGAAAUGCGUAGAGAUCAGGCAGAACACCUGGGGCGAAGGCGGCCAGCUGGGCCGUCCCUGACGCUGAGGCGCGAAGGCGUGGGGAGCGAACGGG
rnacentral:rRNA from 1 species